rnacentral:lncRNA from 1 species
GUGUGAGUGUGAGUGUGUGUGUGUGUGUGGUGCAUGUGUGUGUGUAAAGAAAAAGUUCCUUAAUAAAAUUGCAAAAAAACAAGUAAAGCUCCAGAAAAUUAACUCCAUAUUUGCAUGAAAGAAACAAGAGUGUGUGUGUGUUAAGAAAAAGUUACUUAAUAAAAUUGCAAGCCAAUGGUAAAGCUCUAGAAAAUUCACACUAUAUUUUCAUGAAAGAAGCAAGAGCAAUACUAUAAUAGAGAAGAAAGAACCAUCAAGCAAAUCAAGCUUGCAAUAUCAAGAUCUCAAAUAUCGAAAAAUGUAAAGAGAUCCGCCUCUAUGAUAAGUUGCUUUCGUGCUUGUUGAUUUACAAGAAAACUCAAUGAAGAUGAAGCUCAUCAAUAAUAAUAAAAAACAAAUACAAAUAAGAUAAAAAAUUUACAUGGACUAUCACAAUAGGGUAUUCAACAUACCCAAUUCAUCAAGAGAAGAAACUCAUUCUUAUGUUUAAUUUUAUACAAAGUAAUAAGGAAUUUCGCAAUUGUAUAUCUGAUUACAAGCGAUAGUAUAUAUAUUUGUGAGUGUGAGUGUGAGUGUUUAUAAGUGUCAGUGUCAGUGUGAGUGCGAGUGCGAGUGCGAGUGCGAGUGCGAGUGCGAGAGCGAGUGCGAGUGAGAGUGAGAGUGAGAGUGAGAGUGCGAGUGCGAGUGCGAGUGUGAGUGUGAGCGUGUGAUUGUAUGUGUGUAUGAGUGAGGGAGUGUGAGUGUGAGUGUGAGUGUGAGUGUGAAGGUGAGGGUGAGAGUGAGUGUGACUGUGAGUGUGUGUAGUAUAUAAAUCUGUGUACAUAUACGUUAAUAAAGGUAUAUAGUAAUAA